rnacentral:rRNA from 1 species
ACUCCUACUGGAGGCAGCAGUGGGGAAUAUUGGGCAAUGGGGGAAACCCUGACACAGCGACGCCGCGUGGGUGAAGAAAUCCUUCGGGAUGUAAAGCCCUGUUGUAUGGGAAGAGCAGAAUACGGUACCAUACGAGGAAGCCCCGGCAAACUACGUGCCAGCAGCCGCGGAAAUCAGGAGGGGGCAAGCGUAGUCCGGAAUUACUGGGCGUAAAGCGCACGCAGGCUGACUUCUAAGUCGGUAG